rnacentral:lncRNA from 1 species
GGAGAGAGUUGGAGAGAGACGGCCGCGGAGGACACGGGGACGGGAAAGUCUGAGAGACGGGGAGAGCCUGACCCGGCGGGACACAGGCAGAAAGAAACACGCGAGCCAGACAGACGCAGAAGAAACGUGCCUGGUACUGGAUAGGAACUUCAUGGAAUGGAGCUAAUGGGCCGUAGGGCAGGUUUGAGUCGUGCCACCCUGGAGCAGAAGGUGGAGGGUAGGGAUAAGGGGGUGGAGCACCUGAUUCCAAUCUUGCCACAGGGAAGAAGAGUCUGUGAAGAAGUGCGUGAUGACUGUGUGUCCCCCCCCACCCAGAAAUUGGCAUUUGGGAGGGGUGGAUAUGGUUGGGACUGGGGAGCCUUGAUCUUACUGCUCUUGGUUGAGUUGGUGUCCAAUAGACAGUUUCAGAGGUUAGAGCAGUGGGAGUCACUGGGGACUGGGGACAGGAGAGGUGGGGGUGGGGGAAGCCAGGCAAGAGUUAGGGGAAUACCGAGGAAAGUGGCAGGGAUUGGAGGCUCCUGGAGAAAGGGCAAGGCUGAAGGUUGUCCCAUGUAUUUUGGCCAGAUUUGAUUAUGUAAUCGAGAAUCAUGAGAUAAUUAAGUGUGUUCAUGUCUCUGGAGCCUUCAACCAGCUCUUUUAACAUCUUGCUCUUCCCAGCAUUCCUUAGGGUCUUUGGCUGGGCUCUGGGAUGGAUGCCAUGGGAGUACCUUUACUUAAGCUCUAAAGUUACCAAUGGAGAGACUGGGACUCAAAGAGGAACUUGAUUGGACCCCAGAGAGGUGAGGGGUAAGGGCUAGAACCUCACACAUGCUGGUUUUGCUGCUGCCUGGCAGGCCCAUGGGAAGAACUUUAGAGGUUCCAAGGAAUUGGAAAAGGGUCACAAGAUGGGUGGCCAAACUCCCAGCUCAGGCUUGAUUCCUACUCUCAAUGUGGGGAUAGUGGAGAAGGGGGCUGCAGGAAGGGCUGAGAAAAGCUGAGAAUGAGAAGUUAUACAGGAGGUAGCUUGGUGGGAGUGAAACAAAAAUGAGUGGUUCAUGGGCCAGCCAGGCAUCCUGAUUUCCAGCUCACAGCAGCAGGAGCUUCAGAGAGGAAGAAGGAGAGGAGGAGAAAGCCAGGUUGAUGUUAGUAAAGGUCAAACAAUUUCAGGAGCACCUCUGACCUCCCUCCACACAGGUUUUCUUACCUUGACUAUGCAGAGGGUGGUCCAUCUUGGCACUGAAGAUGGAACCCCCUCUUCCAUGGUCUGGGGUGACCCCAUGCCUGUAACUGAAUGUGCUCAGAUCCUUGGGGUGCGGGGACUGUAGGGGGAGGAUUUGAAGGUGUGGGACUGUCCUGGCUGGAGACCACUGGGUCAGGAGAACUCCAGUAGAGGGUUUGGGUGCUGGGAACCAGGAAGAGUGGGGGAAGGGGCAGAGCCAACUCCAGAGGCGGAUCUCCUGGCUGAGGACAGAGGGUGUAUUGUCCAAGCUGGAGGUUGCUGUAGCUGGGCGGGGAGCAGCUCAGCUCGUCUCUUCCAAAUUUCUUUUGGGGGAGGGUAAGGGAAGGCAAGCCCCCCUUUACUUGUGGCCCUGGGGGCUACAAUGGUUGCUGAGAAACAAGGCUUAUUUGACAAAUAAUGCUUCCCAGGAGCAGAUGUGUAGCUCUCUCACUUCCUGAGAAACCAGAUGCUGUGAGCUCGCUUAGCACUUGAGGCGACGCCCUCAGCACGAACUGGGACCCUAGUGCCUUGGGAUCCGGAGUAUAGUGCUUGAUUCUAUUGAGAAGAAACGAGGCUAAUGUGGACUGGGAGACACACGGGACCUAAUCAGCCUCAAGUUAGCCCUUUUGAAGUAGGUUGCUGCACCUGCACUUUCCCCCUACUCGUCCACUAGUUCAAGAUUUACAAGACGUUGACAAUGAGGGCUGACCAGUCCUGGGUCCACUCCUGCAGCUGGGGGGCUUCUCGGUGGACCCACACUUUUUUUUUGAGACAGGGUCUUGCUCUGUUGCCCAGGCUGGAGUGUAGUGGUGUGAUCACAGCUCACUGCAGCCUUGACCUCCUGGGUUCAAGUGAUCCUUCCUCCCAAGUAGCUGCAACUAUGGGCAUACACCACCAUACCUGGAUAAUUUUUCUAUUUUUUUGUAGAGACAGGGUCUUGCCAUGUUGCCCUGACUAGUCUCAAACUUCUAGGCUCAAGCGAUUCUCCUGCCUCAUCCUCCCAAAGUGCUGGGAUUACAGGUGUGAGCAACCAUUGAGACAAGAGUCUCGCUCUGUCACCCAGGCCGGAGUGCAGUGGUGCGAUCCCGGUCCACUGCAACCUCCACUUCCCGGGUUCAAGCGAUUCUUCUGCCUCAGCCUCCUGAGUAGCUGGGACUACAGGUGUACACCACCAUGCCUAGCUAAUUUUUGUAUUUUUAGUAGAGACGGGGUUUCACCCUAUUAGCCAGGCUGGUCUAGAACUCCUGACCACAUGAUGUGCCCGCCUUGGCCUCCCAAAGUGCUGGGAUUACAGCUGUGAGCCAUGGCACCUGGCCACACACGUCUUUUUAAAUUUAAAUGAGGAUGUGGCCAUAUUACAGCCCAGGUUUUCUCUGACUUUAGAGUACCUUUUGGGACAUAGGGCCUUCCUCUCUACCCUUUCUGUACACAGCCAUCAUAAACCUCUUUCAACAAG